UACGGAGGGGACUAGCGUUGUUCGGAAUUACUGGGCGUAAAGCGCACGUAGGCGGAUUUGUAAGUCAGGGGUGAAAUCCCGGGGCUCAACCUCGGAACUGCCUUUGAUACUGCAAAUCUCGAGUCCGGAAGAGGUGAGUGGGAAUUCCUAGUGUAGAGGUGAAAAUUCGUAGAUAUUAGGAAGAACACCAGUGGCGAAGGCGGCUCACUGGUCCGGUACUGACGCUGAGGUGCGAAAGCGUGGGGGAGCAAACAGG
rnacentral:rRNA from 1 species